rnacentral:rRNA from 1 species
GACGAACGCUGGCGGCGUGCUUAACACAUGCAAGUCGAACGGAAAGGCCCUGCUUUUGUUGCUUGCUCGAGUGGCGAACGGGUGAGUAACACGUGAGUAACCUUCCCUUGACUUUUGGAUAACUUCAACAAACUGUGGCUAAUACCGGGUAUCAGCUCCUGCUGCAUGGUGGUGGUUGGAAAGUUUCGGCUGUUGGGGAUGGACUCGCGGCUUAUCAGCUUGUUGGUGGGUGAGUGGCUUACAAAGGCUUUGACGGGUAGCCGGCCUGAGGGGGUGCCCGGCCAAAUUGGGACUGAGAUACGGCCAAGAUCCCUCCGGAGGGAGGAAGUGGGGAAUAUGGCACAAUGGCGGGAGGCCUGAUGAAGAAAGGCGGGGUGCGGAAUAACGGCCUUGGGGUUGUAAACGGCUUCAGCAGGUGACGAAGCGGGAGUGACGGUAAUGGGUAAAGAAGCACCGGCUAACUACGUG